rnacentral:rRNA from 1 species
GAUGAACGCUGGCGGCGUGCCUAAUACAUGCAAGUCGAGCGAACAGACGAGGAGCUUGCUCCUCUGACGUUAGCGGCGGACGGGUGAGUAACACGUGGAUAACCUACCUAUAAGACUGGGAUAACUUCGGGAAACCGGAGCUAAUACCGGAUAAUAUAUUGAACCGCAUGGUUCAAUAGUGAAAGACGGUUUUGCUGUCACUUAUAGAUGGAUCCGCGCCGCAUUAGCUAGUUGGUAAGGUAACGGCUUACCAAGGCGACGAUGCGUAGCCGACCGGAGAGGGUGAUCGGCCACACUGGAACUGAGACACGGUCCAGACUCCUACGGGAGGCAGCAGUAGGGAAUCUUGCGCAAUGGGCGAAAGCCUGACGGAGCAACGCCGCGUGAGUGAUGAAGGUCUUCGGAUCGUAAAACUCUGUUAUUAGGGAAGAACAAAUGUGUAAGUAACUAUGCACGUCUUGACGGUACCUAAUCAGAAAGCCACGGCUAACUACGUG